CCUGGAGGACCCGCCGGCGUGGGAAACCUAGACAUGCCAGCAUGCGACCUGGGGAGGCCGGCACUGCAGGAGCCUCCCUGCCAUGCUGCGCUGACAUGUCCCCAGCCUCCUCCAGAGAAAUGUCAGCUGGCUGGCAUGUGGACAGCAGAGCCGGGGGUGUCGGAGUGGGAGGGAGGUGGCGCCUGAGCACAGCGCGAGACAACAGCUUUUUCCUCAUCCACAGGUGCCCGUGCCGCAUAUGUGGGCGCAGGGCAGGGCAGCCAGGCCUGACCCCGCUACAAGACUGACACCUGUGAGGGGUAACAGAGAUGUGAAGGGGGUGGGACAGGAAGCGCUCCUCGGCCACUCCACAGCACGACUGGACCUUCUGCGUGCCGGCCGCUGUGAAGCACUAGGACACGAUAGAUGUAGACGUGGCCCUCAGGGGCUUCCUGGGGCUUUCCCUGACACCCAGCGCAGGUCCAAGUCCCUGCCUUUCGCUCCUGGGGUGUCCCAGCUCGUCCUUGCUUGCGCUUGCCUCGGUGGGUCAGCAGGCGUGUCUGCGAUCGUUGCUUUCUGCCUGUGUCUGUCUCUAACCAACAUGCUCUGCUCCGUCUGCGUUCUAGAGCCAAGCUCAGGGCCUGGCAGGUACUCAAAAUAGGUAUUGUAUGAGUGCAAAGAGUCACUUCUGGCCACCUCAGUGUGGCCCCUCACAGUCCCAGUGCUGGCCCUUCAGUAGCAGGGUUCCGUGGCCUCAGCUAGGCGUUGGGGGCGAGUGAGUCAAGCCGUGUCUGGCUUUAGGAAUAGAGAAUCCCGGGUGUAGCCAUAGGCGGGGCAGCAUUCAGAGCAGAGCUGUGGCAGCGGAGAGGAGAAGGUUCCAGAUCUUAGAACCCCUAGCCUUUCUUCUGCUGCCAAGGAGAGCCCGGGGAGAGACUCUGGGGUGGGCAGAGGAUGUGCCUGCCGUCCCACUCAUUUGGAUCCACAGUUGGGCAGGCCGCGGUGCGGCAGGCGUAGAGUUGGCACCUUCGCCGCCAUUGUGGGGAUUGAGGAAUCCUCCCGCAUGUUCAGAGAGGCCGGGUGCCAGAUAAUUUUUCAGAGUUGGCGUUGCGUCUGCAGAGGAUACGAUCAGGCAAUAAGAGUGUGUGACCUCAGAGGUCUGAGAAAUUCCUACAGUGGGAACCCCCAGCCUGAUGAUGCGGCCUCCCUCCGGGUACAGUUUUUGUGUCAAAAGCCAGCUGGAUCAAUAACGUGGACCCACCUCUGGCCACAUACUUGUGAGGAAGGAGCCUACCUUACCCAGGAUCUCGGCCUGGGACCAGGGAAUUUUCUGGGACUGUCAUCUGAACACUGGGCCCUUGGUUCCACAGGGCUCUGUGAAGGCAGUGGGGUCUCUCCUUGUGUUUUUGAACUACUGUCAACGUCACCCCAAACUUAACAGAAAUGGCGCGUUUACC